UACGGGGGGGGCAAGCGUUGUUCGGAAUUACUGGGCGUAAAGGGCUCGUAGGUGGCCUACUAAGUCAGACGUGAAAUCCCUCAGCUUAACUGGGGAACUGCGUCUGAUACUGGAUGGCUUGAGUUUGGGAGAGGGAUGCGGAAUUCCAGGUGUAGCGGUGAAAUGCGUAGAUAUCUGGAGGAACACCGGUGGCGAAGGCGGCAUCCUGGACCAACACUGACACUGAUGAGCGAAAGCCAGGGGAGCAAACGGG
rnacentral:rRNA from 1 species